CCUAACAAACCCAGACUUUACAUCUUGCGUGUCAUACCAGUGCUUAAAUAACGAAUAUCUUUACAAAGAUGUGGACUGUAGCUCUGAAAAUGUUACAGAAGCAGCUUGUAGUACUUUUUUUUCUUGCACAUUUGAACUUGGAGAUCCAUGUUUUCUCUUUCAAGUGAAAAAUGAUGACCUUGAUUGGACAAUAACUAACAUCAGCACAACCAUUGGACCACAGAAAGCUUAUCAAGGAUCAUAUUUUGCCUUUGUUAACGACAGCAGUGACUACUAUAAGCAAGGAAAUCGAGCAAUUCUUAGGUCAAAUAUAAACAUUCCUGACUUCAAAGACAGUGACUGGUGUCUACGGUUUUGGAUCUAUAUUCACAGUACUAGUGGCGGAGGA